GUGUCCAAAUGGCUUAGUGGUCAGAGCAUCUGCCCAGGAAGCAGCAGACCUGGGUUCAAGUCCCAGCUGGGCACA